GACGAACGCUGGCGGCGUGCCUAAUACAUGCAAGUAGGACGCAGUUGCGAACGGGUGAGUAACGCGUAGGUAACUGCCUCUUAGAGGUGGAUAACUAUUGGAAACGAUAGCUAAUACCGCAUACUAGUAGCUGGACCUGCGUUGUAUUAGCUAGUAGGUAGGGUAAUGGCCUACCUAGGAGACGAUACAUAGCCGACCUGAGAGGGUGAUCGGCCACACUGGGGCUGAGACACGGGCCAGACUCCGACGGGAGGCAGCAGUAGGGAAUCUUCGGCAAUGGGGGGAACCUUGACCGAGCAACGCCGCGUGAGUGAAGAAGGUUUUCGGAUCGUAAAGCUCUGUUGUUAAGGAAGCGGUACUUAACCAGAAAGGGACGGCUAACUACGUGCCAGCCGCCGCGGUAAUAG
rnacentral:rRNA from 1 species